rnacentral:rRNA from 1 species
AUUGAACGCUGGCGGCAGGCCUAACACAUGCAAGUCGAACGAGUGGCGGACGGGUGAGUAAUGUCUGGGAAACUGCCUGAUGGAGGGGGAUAAAUACUGGAAACGGUAGCUAAUACCGCAUACCAUCAGAUGUGCCCAGAUGGGAUUGGCGAGUUUGUGGGGAAACGGCUCAACAAGGAGACGAUCCCUAGCUGGUCUGGGAGGAUGACAAGCCACACUGGAACUGAGACACGGUCCAGACUCGUACGGGAGGCAGCAGUGGGGAAUAUUGCACAAUGGGCGCAAGCCUGAUGCAGCAAUGCCGCGUGUAUGAAGAAGGCCUUCGGGUUUUAUAGUACUUUCAGCGGGGAGGCGUUACCCGCAGAAGAAGCACCGGCUAACUCCGUGCCAGCAGCCGCGGUAAUAC